CGUCCACGUGACACCAGAGGAUCCUUCCCGACUCUCUCUUUCAGCCUCAAGCCCUCACUGAAAGAUGCCACAAGAGCAUUCUUCCAGAACCGUCUUCUUCUCCAUCUUCUAAACCAUUCUAUCUCCACUUUCUUCUGCGAAAAGAGAAAAUGAGCAGCCGAUCGAGCCGUACACUCUACGUGGGGAAUCUUCCUGGAGAUACUCGAAUGAGAGAAGUUGAAGACUUGUUUUACAAGUAUGGGCCCAUUGUUGAUAUUGACUUGAAGAUCCCUCCCAGACCUCCGGGUUAUGCCUUUGUCGAGUUUGAGGAUUACCGUGAUGCUGAAGAUGCAAUUCGUGGUCGGGAUGGCUAUAAUUUUGAUGGAUACAGAUUGCGGGUUGAACUUGCACAUGGGGGGCGAAGACAUUCAUCAUCAGUUGAUCGUUACAGCAGUUACAGUGGUAGUGGAGGUAGCCGUGGAGUUUCUAGGCGCACCGACUAUCGUGUUUUGGUGACUGGAUUACCUUCUUCUGCUUCAUGGCAAGACCUUAAGGAUCACAUGCGUAGAGCUGGGGAUGUCUGUUUCUCUCAAGUGUUUCGUGAUCGUGGGGGUAUGACUGGAAUUGUGGAUUACACAACCUAUGAUGAUAUGAAAUAUGCUAUAAAGAAGCUCAAUGGAUCUGCGUUUCGUAAUGCAUUUUCUCGGUCUUAUGUACGGGUGAGGGAGUAUGAUUCAAGGUACUCUAGAAGCCCUAGUCGCAGUCCAUAUAAUUCAAGAAGCCGAAGUCGUAGCCCAUAUUAUUCAAGAAGCAGAAGUCGCAGCCUCAGCUACAGCGAUAGGAGCAGGAGCAUUUCUCCCAGGGCCAAAUAUUCACGUCGGUCUCCAUCUGUAUCUCCUGCUAGGUCUAGUUCUUACUCAAGAUCACCUGGCCGCUCUUAUUCAAGAUCUCCUUUGCGGCGACCUGGGAUUGGAUGUUAGGAACUUGAUGGGAUGUGGUGCCUAAAGCCUGCAACUCAUUUUGUUCUUGAGGUAAUACUGUUUUUGUUGAUGAGCACCUCUGGAAAAACCCUAAUGGUUUAAUAAUUCUGACAUGUUAUGCAUGCUGUUCCAAUGAAAGCUAGCAUGGAUCAGUAUAAGAAAGAUGGAUGGGUAGCAAUUUUAAAGCUGGAUACUGAUUUAAGUACAAUUGAUUUGACACCAUCCCCAAUGAGUCUGCGCUAUUGACAAGUUCAAGAUUUCUGGCUCUGUCAAACUUUUGCCCAGGAUUCUCGUUAAUUUGGUGAUAUAUAUAGACUGUGUGGAUGUGUUUCUUUCCUGUUGUACUUUGUAUUAUUGUGCGCCAUUCUCUUUUUGCCUGGUUUCUUUUUAUCUUUUGUCUAUUUUAGCUCACAUUACAUGCUGGGGAAGGAUCGGUAGUAAAUGGUGAGGUGCAAUAAUACGAUACUGGUUUGAUGUUUUACUGUUGAUUGCUGCUAAGAUUGAUGGUAAUUUUCUAUUUCUGAAUGUGUUCACAUUGCGGUGGAAAUGGCGUUGAGGCUUAUGGAUCAAAGGUUAUAAAGGAUUGUUCUAUUGAAUUGGAUUGUUUCUGGAAUUUUUUGCAGAUCACCUUCUAGAUCCAGAUCUCCAGUGUCACCUCCUCGCGGCAGACGUGUGAGUAGAAGCCGAAGAGAGCGUAGUCCAAGUUGGAGUCAGAGCAGGAGUCCAAGUGUUUCGCGAUCCCGUUCACCGUCA